AAAAGAUUAGUUAACCCAAUAACACCAACUUGUCAAGAUGGAGUCACUUACUAAAGUAUCUUUUA